GAUGAAGAACGUAGCGAAAUGCGAUACUUGGUGUGAAUUGCAGAAUCCCGUGAACCAUCGAGUCUUUGAACGCAAGUUGCGCCCGAAGCCAUUAGGCCGAGGGCACGCCUGCCUGGGCGUCACACGUCGUUGCCCCCCCAUCUACUCCUUCGGGAUUGCGGGGGGCGGAUGAUGGCCUCCCGUGCGCCUCGUCGCGCGGUUGGCAUAAAUGCCAAGUCCUCGGCGCCGCACGCCACGACAAUCGGUGGUUGCGAAACCUCGGUUGCCCGUCGUGUGCGGUCGUCGCGCAUCGAGGGCUCGAAAAAAUUGCCGGGCUCCGGCUCGGCUUUCAACGCGACCCCAGGUCAGGCGGGGUUACCCGCUGAAUUUAAGCAUAUCAAUAAGCGGAGGA
rnacentral:misc_RNA from 1 species